rnacentral:lncRNA from 1 species
GGCGCGGCUGUGCCCGCCACUUCCCUCGGGCACCCGAGGCCCCUCGCAAAGUCUCGCCCCAUUCCCAGUCCGGCGGACGAACUUUGCCCGCGCCCCCCACCAAGGCUAUAGCCCACCCGUUUUUUGGCCAUUUUUCCGCUGGGGGGUUUUGGCACCACGACCUUCGGGAGCUUAUUUUUGGGCGCGGCCUUGCCCGCAGCUUAUUUUUGGCACCCCGAGGCCCCUCGCAAAGUCUCGCCCCAUUCCGAGUCCGGCGGACGAACUUCGCCCGCGCCCCCCACCAAGGCUAUAGCCCACCCGUUUUUUGGCUAUUUUUCCGCUGGGGGGUUUUGGCACCACGACCUUCGGGCGCUUAUUUUUGGACGCGGCUGUGCCCGCAACUUCCCGUGGGCAGUCCGAGGCCCCUCGCAAAGUCUCGUCCCAUUCCGAGUCCGGCGGACGAACUUCGCCCGCGCCCCCCACCAAGGCUAUAGCCCACCCGUUUUUUGGCCAUUUUUCCGCUGGGGGGUUUUGGCACCACGACCUUCGGGCGCUUAUUUUUGGGCGCGGCUGUGCCCGCAACUUCCCGCGGGCACCCCGAGGCCCCUCGCAAAGUCUCGCCCCAUUCCGAGUCCGGCGGACGAACUUCGCCUGCGCCCCCCACCAAGGCUAUAGCCCACCCGUUUUUUGGCCAUUUUUCCGCUGGGGGGUUUUGGCACCACGACCUUCGGGCGCUUAUUUUUGGGCGCGGCUUUGCCCGCGGCUUAUUUUUGGGCGCGGCUUUGCCCGCGGCUUAUUUUUGGUGCCCCGAGGCCCCUCGCAAAGUCUCGUACCAUUCCGACUCCGGCGGACGAACUUCGUCCGCGCCCCCCACCAAGGCUGUAGCCCACCCGUUUUUUGGCCAUUUUUCCGCUGGGGGGUUUUAGGACCACGACCUUCGGGCGCUUAUUUUUGGGCGCGGCUUUGCCCGCGAUUUAUUUUUGGCACCCCGAGGCCCCUCGCAAAGUCUCGGCCCAUUCCGAGUCCGGCGGACGAACUUCGCCCGCGCCCCCCACCAAGGCUAUAGCCCACCCGUUUUUUGGCCAUUUUUCCGCUGGGGGGUUUUGGCACCACGACCUUCGGGCGCUUAUUUCUGGACGCGGCUGUGCCCGCGACUUCCCGCUGGCACCCCGAGGCCCCUCGCAAUGUCUCGCCCCAUUCCAAGUCCGGCGGACGAACUUCGCCCGCGCCCCCCACCAAGGCUAUAGCCCACCCGUUUUUUGGCCAUUUUUCUGCUGGGGGGUUUUGGCACCACGACCUUCGGGAGCUUAUUUUUGGGCGCGGCCUUGCCCGCGGCUUAUUUUUGGCACCCCGAGGCCCCUCGCAAAGUCUCGCCCCAUUCCGAGUCCGGCGGACGAACUUCGCCCGCGCCCCCCACCAAGGCUAUAGCCCACCCGUUUUUUGGCUAUUUUUCCGCUGGGGGGUUUUGGCACCACGACCUUCGGGCGCUUAUUUUUGGACGCGGCUGUGCCCGCAACUUCCCGUGGGCAGUCCGAGGCCCCUCGCAAAGUCUCGUCCCAUUCCGAGUCCGGCGGACGAACUUCGCCCGCGCCCCCCACCAAGGCUAUAGCCCACCCGUUUUUUGGCCAUUUUUCCGCUGGGGGGUUUUGGCACCACGACCUUCGGGCGCUUAUUUUUGGGCGCGGCUUUGCCCGUGGCUUAUUUUUGGCGCUCCGAGGCCCCGCGCAAAGUCUCGCCCCAUUCCGAGUCCGGCGGACGAACUUCGCCCGCGCCCCCCACCAAC